GUCCCUUCAGGGACAUACAAUAAAAUUAGAACGAUAUAAAUAAGAUUGGCAUGAACCAUGCACAAGAAUGAUGCGCACAAAUCGAGAAAUUGUCCAAUUUUUU